rnacentral:rRNA from 1 species
AGCCUGAUGCAGCGACGCCGCGUGGGGGAUGAAGGCCUUCGGGUUGUAAACCCCUUUCAGCAGGGAAGAAGCGAGAGUGACGGUACCUGCAGAAGAAGCGCCGGCUAACUACGUGCCAGCAGCCGCGGUAAUACGUAGGGCGCAAGCGUUGUCCGGAAUUAUUGGGCGUAAAGAGCUCGUAGGCGGUUUGUCGCGUCUGCUGUGAAAACCCGAGGCUCAACCUCGGGCCUGCAGUGGGUACGGGCAGACUAGAGUGCGGUAGGGGAGACUGGAAUUCCUGGUGUAGCGGUGGAAUGCGCAGAUAUCAGGAGGAACACCGAUGGCGAAGGCAGGUCUCUGGGCCGCAACUGACGCUGAGGAGCGAAAGCAUGGGGAGCGAACAGGAUUAGAUACCCUGGUAGUCCAUGCCGUAAACGUUGGGCACUAGGUGUGGGGCUCAUUCCACGAGUUCCGUGCCGCAGCAAACGCAUUAAGUGCCCCGCCUGGGGAGUACGGCCGCAAGGCUAAAACUCAGAGAAAU